CCUGUCUCAAAAUAAAAUAUAAAAAGGGCUGGGGAUGUGGCUCAGUGAUUAAGUACCCCUGAGUUCAAUCCCUGGUACCAAAAAAAAAAAAGACCCAGUUUAAAGCCAGGUGUGGUGGCACACUCCUGUAAUCCCAACAACUUGGGAGGCUAAGGCAGGAGGAUCACUUGUUUAUGGCAUGCCAUCCAUCCAUCCAUCCCACCACCACCACCUCUGAUGGUCUCCUCCACUUCAUUCCCGAUUGCCCUCCUGACUUGGCUCCUCCCCCUUUUUGUGAACACCCGGGUUGUAAGAGGUCCCAGGAUGCUGCAGCCAGACUUACAGGUCUCAGUCAGGCAGGCUUGGAUGUGAAUCCUACUUCAUGUGACCUUGGGCAGGUCAUUUAUCUCCUCUCUGCAUUGAUUACUUUAUCCAUAAAAUGGGGAUAAACAAAUAUCUCGCAGGGCUCUGUGAACAACCCAAUGAGGGGUUGUUCCUGAAGGCACUUGGUGUGGCACCUUGAAGUAGUGUGGCCUGGACCUGUCAGGAUGCUUCAUUGUAAGAACCUAAUUUAAAAGUUUUCUUUUACACUUAGCUGGUUUGGAUGAGGAUCCAAAGAGAGUCUACAUGUUACAGUUGGUGAGCACAGUUCUUAAGACUCCAUAUAUUUUUCUUUCAUCUCAUUUUAGUGCCAUUUACUUUAUUUAAUUUUUUAACUUAAUUUUAUUUUAAUUUUUGACAAUGCAGGAAUGUAGGACCAUGGAUUUUAGACAAGCACUCUGCCACUAAGCUACAUCCCAGCCCUUUUAGUAUGGUCUAUUUUUUUGGGGGGGGUAUCAGGGAUUGGACUCAGGAGCACUCGACCACUGGAGCCAUGUCCCCAUCCCUAUUUUGUAUUUUAUUUAGAGACAGGGUCUCACUGAGUUGCUUAGGACCUUGCCAUUGCUGAGGCUGGCUCUGAACUUGCGAUCCUCCUGACUCAGCCUCCCAAACUGCUGGGAUUAUAGGUGUGCACCACCAUACCCAGCUAGUGUGGUCUAUUUUGAUGGUCAUUCAUUCCUAUAAAAUUCUCUGCAUUCAAGAUUUAAGUAAUUGCUCCCUGAUGGUGUUAUUUAACCUGUUCUUCUAUCCCUUUUAUUUCCUAUAAACUAAUAAUUAAGUUUGGAUGACUACAUUCAAGAUGACAGUGAUCACAAUUAUUCUGGCAAGAACAGGGAGAAGGUGGUGCUGCAUAUGUACUGCAUCAUAGCAGGAGAUACAGAAUGUCUAGUCCUACUUUUGGUAAUGGUAAGAUUGAUUGAUGGUGCUAGGUGCAUUGGCACAUGCCUAUAAUCCCACUGGCUUGUGAGGCUGAGGCAGGAGAAUGGCAAGUUCAAAGUCAGCCUCAGCAGCAAGGCCUUAAGCAACUCAUUGAGACCCUAAAUAAAAUAUAAAAUGGAUGGGGAUGUGGCUUGGUGGUUAAGCCUCCCUGGGUUCAAUCUCCUGUACAAAAAAAAAAAAAAAAAAUUUGAUUGAUGGAAUCUUUCUUUUCCUGGCAAUCAUGGAAGUUUGAACAUAACCAGGGUAUUAUGAAGGUAAGAAAUUAUUGCUAAAUAUUUUGGGUGUAAUUAUAUAUUACAUUAUGGUAUUGUGGUUGGGUAAAAUAAAAUUCCUUGUCUGACAUACAACAUGGGCGAAUUUCAAAACAUGCUGAGUGAAAACAACAACAACAACAAAACAAACCAACCAACCCAGAUCCAUACUUAUUGAUUUCAAUUAUAUGGAACAUUCUGGAGCAAGCAAAAUGAACCUAUAAGUGACGAAAAACACGGCACGGGUUGCCUCAGCAAUGGCGGAGGCUGGGGACUGACUGUGGAGGGAUUUUGAGGGUGAUGGAAACAUUUUGUAUUUUGAAUGUGGUGGUGAUUGCAUGGAUAUAUACAGCUGUCAAAACUAAUUGAAUCAUGCACUUAAAAUGAAUGUUUUAUUGUAUGAAAAUUAAGGUGUAUUUUGAUGUUUGUGAAUAAAGUUGAUUUUAAAAGGAAAUAAAAUUACAACUAGAAUAAAAAGAAUUCAUUUUUAUAGUCAUAAAACUGUAAUAUGCCUCUGAGGGGAAACUAGUAAUAUGUGACUACAGAUAAAAUUAUAUUCAAGACAAAAGAGAAGACCUACACGUAUAGAUAAUGGACUGUGUUCAUGGGCAGAUGUCUCAAUGGUCAUCCCAAAUUACUCUAUAAAUUAAAUGUUUUGUUGAAAGAGCUGAGUUUUUAAAGUUCGUAUCUGUUACUAAUAAAUACUGAAGUGGCAUAAUGUUUGGGAUUUGGCUUAAUAUGUUCAAAGAAAAUAAUGUGAAAGAAGAAAUGAAGAAAUCAAUAUUUAUCCUAUGCUGAGAAUUGUUGAAGCUGAAUGAGGGGUACAAAAGAGUUUAUUAUAUAAUUCUUUUGAUUUUAUAUAUUUGGAAUUU
rnacentral:lncRNA from 1 species